GCCAGUGUAGUCUAAUAGUUUGGGUGUUGGACUAUGACUCUAAGAGACCAGGGUUCAAAUCCCUGCUUGGUCA